rnacentral:tRNA from 1 species
GGGGUUGUGGCUCAAUGGUAGAGCACUGGCCUAGCAUACAUGAGGCACUGGGUUCGAUCCCCAGCACCA